GACGAACGCUGGCGGCGUGCUUAACACAUGCAAGUCGAACGAGAGUUAGAUCGAAUGAGUUUUCGGACAAGUGAGAUUUAACGAAAGUGGCGAACGGGUGAGUAGCACGUGAGCAACCUGCCUUACACAGGGGGAUAGCCAUUGGAAACGGUGAUUAAUACCCCAUAAGACCACAAUACCGCAUGGUAAAAGGGUAAAAGGGAUACCGGUGUAAGAUGGGCUCGCGUCUGAUUAGCUAGUUGGUGGGGUAAAGGCCUACCAAGGCGACGAUCAGUAGCCGGUCUGAGAGGAUGAACGGCCACAUUGGAACUGAGACACGGUCCAAACUCCUACGGGAGGCAGCAGUGGGGAAUAUUGCACAAUGGGGGAAACCCUGAUGCAGCGACGCCGCGUGAGCGAAGAAGGCUUUCGAGUCGUAAAGCUCUGUCCUAUGAGAAGAUAAUGACGGUAUCAUAGGAGAAG
rnacentral:rRNA from 1 species